rnacentral:rRNA from 1 species
GAGUUUGAUUCUGGCUCAGGACGAACGCUGGCGGCGUGCCUAAUACAUGCAAGUCGAACGAACGGAGAAAGAAGCUUGCUUUUUUCAAAGUUAGUGGCGAACGGGUGAGUAACACGUGGGUAACCUGCCCAUCAGAGGGGGAUAACAUUCGGAAACGGAUGCUAAAACCGCAUAGGUUCCUUAGUUGCAUGACUGAGGAAGGAAAAGAGGCGUAAGCUUCUGCUGGUGGAUGGACCCGCGGUGCAUUAGCUAGUUGGUGAGGUAACGGCUCACCAAGGCGAUGAUGCAUAGCCGACCUGAGAGGGUGAUCGGCCGCAUUGGGACUGAGACACGGCCCAAACUCCUACGGGAGGCAGCAGUAGGGAAUCUUCCGCAAUGGACGCAAGUCUGACGGAGCAACGCCGCGUGAGUGAAGAAGGUUUUUGGAUCGUAAAACUCUGUUGUUAGAGAAGAAUAAGCAUAAUAGUAAC